UACGGAGGGUGCGAGCGUUGUCCGGAAUCACUGGGCGUAAAGGGCGCGUAGGCGGCAGGCCAAGCGUGCGGUGAAAGUCCGGGGCUCAACCCCGGAUCUGCCGUGCGGACUGGUUUGCUAGAGCACUGUAGAGGCGAGUGGAAUUCCGGGUGUAGCGGUGGAAUGCGUAGAGAUCCGGAAGAACACCGGUGGCGAAGGCGGCUCGCUGGGCAGUGGCUGACGCUGAGGCGCGACAGCGUGGGGAGCAAAGAGG
rnacentral:rRNA from 1 species